UUAAUUAAAGCCAAAAUUUAGAGGCUUAUCAUUGUUAAUGAUAUCAUUGAAAACCAUUCUAAUUAAA
rnacentral:tRNA from 1 species